rnacentral:misc_RNA from 1 species
GAUGAAGAACGCAGCGAAAUGCGAUAAGUAAUGUGAAUUGCAGAAUUCAGUGAAUCAUCGAAUCUUUGAACGCACAAUGCGCCCCUUGGUAUUCCGAGGGGCAUGCCUGUUCGAGCGUCAUUACACCACUCAAGCUAUGCUUGGUAUUGGGCGUCGUCCUUAGUUGGGCGCGCAUUAAAGACCUCGGCGAGGCCACUCCGGCUUUAGGCGUAGUAGAAUUUAUUCGAACGUCUGUCAAAGGAGAGGAACUCUGCCGACUGAAACCUUUAUUUUUCUAGGUUGACCUCGGAUCAGGUAGGGAUACCCGCUGAACUUAAGCAUAUCAAUAAGCGGAGGA